AGGACCUGCCUUUAGGUUCGGAAUAACUCAGAGAAAUUUGAGCUAAUACCGGAUAAUGUCUUCGGACCAAAGAUUUAUCGCCUUUAGAUGGGCCCGCGUUGGAUUAGCUAGUUGGUGGGGUAAAGGCCUACCAAGGCGACGAUCCAUAGCUGGUCUGAGAGGAUGAUCAGCCACACUGGGACUGAGACACGGCCCAGACUCCUACGGGAGGCAGCAGUGGGGAAUAUUGGACAAUGGGCGAAAGCCUGAUCCAGCAAUGCCGCGUGAGUGAUGAAGGCCUUAGGGUUGUAAAGCUCUUUACCCGAGAUGAUAAUGACAGUAUCGGGAGAAUAAGCUCCGGCUAACUCCGUG
rnacentral:rRNA from 1 species